GGGUAGGCAUCUUUUUAUUUUUAAAAGACCUUUUUCGGAAGGUAUGCUUAAAGAGGGGCUUGCGUCACAUUAGUUAGUUGGCAGGGUAAAGGCCUACCAAGACUAUGAUGUGUAGCUGGACUGAGAGGUUGAACAGCCACAUUGGGACUGAGACACGGCCCAAACUCCUACGGGAGGCAGCAGUAGGGAAUUUUCGGCAAUGGAGGAAACUCUGACCGAGCAACGCCGCGUGAACGAUGAAGUAUUUCGGUAUGUAAAGUUCUUUUAUUGAAGAAGAAAAAAUAGUGGAAAAACUAUCUUGACGAUAUUCAAUGAAUAAGCCCCGGCAAACUAUGUGCCAGCAGCCGCGGUAAUACAUAGGGGGCGAGCGUUAUCCGGAAUUAUUGGGCGUAAAGGGUGCGUAGGCGGUUUAAUAAGUCUAUAGUUUAAUUUCAGUGCUUAACACUGUCCUGCUAUAGAAACUAUUAGACUAGAGUGAGAUAGAGGCAAGUGGAAUUCCAUGUGUAGCGGUAAAAUGCGUAAAUAUAUGGAGGAACACCAGAGGCGUAGGCGGCUUGCUGGGUCUUUACUGACGCUGAGGCACGAAAGCGUGGGGAGCAAACAGGAUUAGAUACCCUGGUAGUCCACGCCGUAAACGAUGAGUACUAAGUGUCGGGAUUACUCGGUACUGAAGUUAACACAUUAAGUACUCCGCCUGAGUAGUACGUACGCAAGUAUGAAACUUAAAGGAAUUGACGGGACUCCGCACAAGCGGUGGAUCAUGUUGUUUAAUUCGAAGAUACACGAAAAACCUUACCAGGUCUUGACAUACUCUGCAAAGCUAUAGCAAUAUAGUGGAGGUUAUCAGGGAUACAGGUGGUGCAUGGUUGUCGUCAGCUCGUGUCGUGAGAUGUUAGGUUAAGUCCUAAAACGAGCGCAACCCUUGUCAUUAGUUGCCAGCAUGUCAUGAUGGGCACUUUAAUGAGACUGCCAAUGAAAAAUUGGAGGAAGGUGAGGAUCACGUCAAAUCAUCAUGCCCCUUAUGAUCUGGGCUACAAACGUGAUACAAUGGCUGUUACAAAGAGUAGCUGAAACGCAAGUUUAUAGCCAAUCUCAUAAAAGCAGUCUCAGUUCGGAUUGAAGUCUGCAACUCGACUUCAUGAAGUUGGAAUCGCUAGUAAUCGCCAAUCAGCAUGUCGCGUAAAUUAUUUGGA
rnacentral:rRNA from 1 species